GAGAGCUUGCUCUCUGGGUGGCGAGUGGCGGACGGGUGAGGAAUACAUCGGAAUCUACUCUGUCGUGGGGGAUAACGUAGGGAAACUUACGCUAAUACCGCAUACGACCUACGGGUGAAAGCAGGGGAUCUUCGGACCUUGCGCGAUUGAAUGAGCCGAUGUCGGAUUAGCUAGUUGGCGGGGUAAAGGCCCACCAAGGCGACGAUCCGUAGCUGGUCUGAGAGGAUGAUCAGCCACACUGGAACUGAGACACGGUCCAGACUCCUACGGGAGGCAGCAGUGGGGAAUAUUGGACAAUGGGCGCAAGCCUGAUCCAGCCAUACCGCGUGGGUGAAGAAGGCCUUCGGGUUGUAAAGCCCUUUUGUUGGGAAAGAAAUCCAGCUGGCUAAUACCCGGUUGGGAUGACGGUACCCAAAGAAUAAGCACCGGCUAACUUCGUGCCAGCAGCCGCGGUAAUACGAAGGGUGCAAGCGUUACUCGGAAUUACUGGGCGUAAAGCGUGCGUAGGUGGUCGUUUAAGUCCGUUGUGAAAGCCCUGGGCUCAACCUGGGAACUGCAGUGGAUACU
rnacentral:rRNA from 1 species